GAUGAACGCUGGCGGCGUGCCUAAUACAUGCAAGUCGAGCGAACAGACGAGGAGCUUGCUCCUCUGACGUUAGCGGCGGACGGGUGAGUAACACGUGGAUAACCUACCUAUAAGACUGGGAUAACUUCGGGAAACCGGAGCUAAUACCGGAUAAUAUAUUGAACCGCAUGGUUCAAUAGUGAAAGACGGUUUUGCUGUCACUUAUAGAUGGAUCCGCGCCGCAUUAGCUAGUUGGUAAGGUAACGGCUUACCAAGGCAACGAUGCGUAGCCGACCUGAGAGGGGGAUCGGCCACCCUGGAACGGAGACACGGUCCAGACUCCUACGGGAGGCAGCAGUAGGGAAUCUUCCGCAAUGGGCGAAAGCUUGACGGAGCAACGCCGCGUGAGUGAUGAAGGUCUUCGGAUCGUAAAACUCUGUUAUUAGGGAAGAACAAAUGUGUAAGUAACUAUGCACGUCUUGACGGUACCUAAUCAGAAAGCCACGGCUAACUACGUG
rnacentral:rRNA from 1 species